CACGCCGUAAACGAUGUCCGCUGGGCGCUUGACCUUGCGUUGGGUGCCGAAGCUAACGCAUUAAGCGGACCGCCUGGGGAGUACGCCCGCAAGGGUGAAACUCAAAGGAAUUGACGGGGGCCCGCACAAGCGGUGGAGCAUGUGGUUUAAUUCGAAGCAACGCGAGAAACCUUACCAGGUCUUGACAUGAGAUUGCCGCUGCGAGAGAUCGCAGUUUCUAGGGCAACCUAGACGAUCUACACAGGUGU
rnacentral:rRNA from 1 species